GCAAUCCCCAGUGACUGAGUAUUCUCUUCAAAACAUUGGCAGAAACUCUACUGUUUUUUUUUCACAUUCAUUUUUGAUGUUCUGUGGUCUCAGACAUGUUAGAAGCUCUGGGCAAAACUCCCUCUGAUCAAAGGACGGUCAGACAUUACAGUUCUAUCUUAACAUGACAGGAGUGGCUGCACAAUUCAGGCAAGUUAUGUGCUGAUUAGUCCCAUCCCUGCUGCAGUAUUGAAUCCCUGGGAAUCAUCAAGGGUUUUACUGGAGAAAAGCAGCUGAUAUAUCUCUUUAGAUGCCGACAGAAGUGAGUCUGCAGAAAAAAUUCAACUGGAGACAACUGGUGACAUGGUGACAUAACUGACAGACAGAAGGAAAGACUGAAAAGCAGUGAGAACAAAUUGUUCUCUUGUUUGACUAAACUGAAUUUGUACAGCAAAGAUGAAACAUCUCUUCAAGAAAAGAUGAAACAUAUAUAGAAGCACAUAAGAUGUGGAAAUAGGAGCAGGUGACCCGGGAGGAAUGCAGAGAUACUGUCUUAGCAUGAAGAGAUGGGGUCAAGAAAGCCAAAGACUACUUGAAAGUAGAACCAGAAGCUGUCCUGUGAUGACAACAACAGACGUAUUAGAAAUUCAAGAGACGGAGUUAAAUAAAGCUUCCAGGAUACCUGCCAUCCUUGUCAUUUUCAGAAAUGAAUUCUGCCUCUUAAGAGGAAAAAAAAAGGAAAGAGAGGAAGGAGGAAUAGCAUGCAGGGGAAAACCGAAAUCAAUCGGGGAAGGUGACUUACGAAAUUCUUAGAAUUCCAUAAAAAUGACUGGCAUGUGCUUCACAGUUGAAGCUGAGUAAUCAAAGACUAUUUUCCCAGAACUACUUUUUGUUAUUACACUUAUCUGUUUAAAUUGUUUCUACCUUGUUUGCAGAAAAAGUGAAGAUGGAAGACAAAGAUCUUUGCAGGUGCCAAAGAUUUUGUUACCUGUACAAACUGAAUGUGUAUCAUUUUUCAAGCUACUGUAGUAACCAUUAGAACAGUCCAAGCAAAA